AUUGAACGCUGGCGGCAGGCCUAACACAUGCAAGUCGAGCGAGCGGCGGACGGGUGAGUAAUGUAUGGGGACUGCCCGAUAGCGGGGGAUAACUACUGGAAACGGUGGCUAAUCCCGCAUACUAUCGGAUAACCCAUAUGGGAUUAGCUAGUAGGUGGGGUAAAGGCUCACCUAGGCGACGAUCGAUAGCUGGUCUGAGAGGAUGAUCAGCCACACUGGAACUGAGACACGGCCCAGACUCCUACGGAGGCAGCAGUGGGGAAUAUUGCACAAUGGGCGAAAGCCUGACGCAGCCAUGCCGCGUGUGUGAAGAAGGCCUUAGGGUUGUAAAGUACUUUCAGCGGGGAGGCGUUACCCGAAGAAGAAGCACCGGCUAACUCCGUGCCAGCAGCCGCGGUAAUUC
rnacentral:rRNA from 1 species